rnacentral:rRNA from 1 species
AUCCAGAGAAUUUAGCAGAGAUGCUUAGUGCCUUCGGGAACUCUGAGACAGGUGCUGCAUGGCUGUCGUCAGCUCGUGUUGUGAAAUGUUGGGUUAAGUCCCGCAACGAGCGCAACCCUUAUCCUUUGUUGCCAGCACGUAAUGGUGGGAACUCAAAGGAGACUGCCGGUGAUAAACCGGAGGAAGGUGGGGAUGACGUCAAGUCAUCAUGGCCCUUACGAGUAGGGCUACACACGUGCUACAAUGGCGCAUACAAAGAGAAGCGACCUCGCGAGAGCAAGCGGACCUCAUAAAGUGCGUCGUAGUCCGGAUUGGAGUCUGCAACUCGACUCCAUGAAGUCGGAAUCGCUAGUAAUCGUAAAUCAGAAUGUUACGGUGAAUACGUUCCCGGGCCUUGUACACACCGCCCGUCACACCAUGGGAGUGGGUUGCAAAAGAAGUAGAUAGCUUAACCUUCGGGAGGGCGUUUACCACUUUGUGAUUCAUGACUGGGGUGAAGUCGUAACAAGGUAAGCGUAGUGCU